CCUGCCCAGUGAUAAAAUUCAACGGCCGCGGUACCCUAACCGUGCGAAGGUAGCAUAAUCACUUGUUCUUUAAAUAAGGACUUGUAUCAACGGCACCACGAGGGUUAAACUGUCUCCUUUUUCAUAUCAGUGAAACUAAUCUUCCCGUGAAGAAACGGGAAUAAUUUUAUAAGACGAGAAGACCCCAUGGAGCUUUAAACCCAACUACACUCCGCCAAACCUUACCUUUAAGCCUCUCGGAACCUGUAUGUUCAGGUUUUAGGUUGGGGUGACCGCGGAGCACAAACUAGCCUCCACAAUGAAUAGACUCCCUCUUUAUCUAAGAUUUACAUCUCUAAGAAUUAGUAUUCUAACAUAAAAUGAUCCGAUAUUCGAUCAACGAACCAAGUUACCCUGGGGAUAACAGCGCAAUCUACUUCAAGAGCCCCUAUCGACAAGUAGGUUUACGACCUCGAUGUUGGAUCAGGGUAUCCCAGUGGUGCAGCAGCUACUAAAGGUUCGUUUGUUCAACGAUUAAAACCCU
rnacentral:rRNA from 1 species